rnacentral:rRNA from 1 species
GAUGAACGCUGGCGGCGUGCCUAAUACAUGCAAGUCGAGCGAACAGACGAGGAGCUUGCUCCUCUGACGUUAGCGGCGGACGGGUGAGUAACACGUGGAUAACCUACCUAUAAGACUGGGAUAACUUCGUGAAACCGGAGCUAAUACCGGAUAAUAUAUUGAACCGCAUGGUUCAAUAGUGAAAGACGGUUUUGCUGUCACUUAUAGAUGGAUCCGCGCCGCAUUAGCUAGUUUGUAAGGGAAUGGCUUACCAAGGCGACGAUGCGUAGCCGACCUGAGAGGGUGAUCGGCCACACUGGAACUGAGACACGGUCCAGACUCCUACGGGAGGCAGCAGUAGGGAAUCUUCCGCAAUGGGCGAAAGCCUGACGGAGCAACGCCGCGUGAGUGAUGAAGGUCUUCGGAUCGUAAAACUCUGUUAUUAGGGAAGAACAAAUGUGUAAGUAACUAUGCACGUCUUGACGGUACCUAAUCAGAAAGCCACGGCUAACUACGUG